UUUUGUUUUUCCGUGUCCAACAUUUGACCAUUCGUUUUAUUUGAAAUUUUUUCGAUUAAUAUUUUUAUUAUUACUAGAUGAUAAUACUUUAUACGUGACUAUUUUUUUUAGAUUUUUGCACAAAAUUUUUAAAUAAGACGAAUGAUCAAACGUAGGAAAAAAAACA
rnacentral:pre_miRNA from 1 species